UUAAACCAGCCCAGCCAGGACCCUGCAGCUGGGAGAGGAGCCCCAGCCCCAGGAGUCCAGGUGUUCCAUUCUGUGAUCAGGACAGAACACAGAUCCCUCACUAUGGAGUUUCUGCUUGGCUGGGUUUUCCUUGUUGCUGUUUUAAAAGGUGUCCAGUGUGAGGUGCAGCUGGUGGAGUCUGGGGGAGGCCUGGCGAAGCCUGGGGGCUCCCUGCGACUCUCCUGUGCAGCCUCCGGAUUUGACUUCAGUAGCUAUGCCAUGCACUGGGUCCGCCAAGCUCCACAGAAGGGGUUGGAGUGGGUCUCAGUUAUUAGUUAUGAUGGAAGUUACACAAGCUAUGCGGACUCCGUGAAGGGCCGAUUCACCAUCUCCAGAGACAACGCCAAGAACACAGUGAAUCUGCAGAUGAACAACCUGAGAGUCGAAGACACGGCCACUUAUUUCUGUGCGAAAGACACAGUGAGGGGACAUCAGUAUAUUGGGCUGACACCAAUCCCCUACUCAGGACCUUUCGACAGGGGUGUGUGGGCUGGUCCCCUGCAUUCCGAAUGGUGCCUGAACAGGGACCCGAGUAGAAGGCAUUUCAAAAGUAAGGAAAGUGAUUCGCCUAUUUGGGUGCCAGAUCGUCUGGUCCGAUAUGCCUCCAUGUCCUCCUCGCCGGACCCAUCCUCAGACUACAUCAAGGAAAAACACCAGGAACUUGAGCAGAGAAAUGGGGAGAAUUGA